rnacentral:rRNA from 1 species
UACGGGGGGGGGCAAGCGUUGUUCGGAAUUACUGGGCGUAAAGGGUGCGUAGGCGGCUUUCUAAGUUGGAUGUGAAAACUAUGGGCUCAACCCAUAGCCUGCAUCCAAAACUGGAGAGCUUGGGUACUGGAGGGGAAAGCGGAAUUCCUGGUGUAGCGGUGAAAUGCGUAGAUAUCAGGAGGAACACCGGUGGCGAAGGCGGCUUUCUGGACAGUUACCGACGCUGAGGCACGAAAGCUAGGGGAGCGAACAGG